rnacentral:rRNA from 1 species
GACGUAGGGUGCAAGCGUUGUCCGGAUUUAUUGGGCGUAAAGAGCUCGUAGGCGGCUUGUUGCGUCGACUGUGAAAACCCGCGGCUUAAACCGCGGGCUUGCAGUUGAUACGGGCAGGCUAGAGUUCGGUAGGGGAGACUGGAAUUCCUGGUGUAGCGGUGAAAUGCGUAGAUAUCGAGAGGAACACCUGCGGCGAAGGCGGGUGCUGGGCCUGAAUACUGACGUGAGGCGCGAAAAGCCAGGGGAGGCGAAACGGGAUUAGAACUACC